AAAGGACAAGUAAUAUUAUUUGAAAUCAUCAGAGAGCUAGUGGUCGCUGUGAACUAGUGUUUUUAAUAAUAUGAAUACACCUUUAUAACUAACAUGUCCUACGUUUAUUAAUGAACGUAUCAUUAAUAGAGUGAACAUUAUCUUAUGAUUAUGUUUAAGUUUGGUGGUAACGUGCAAUCGCGCCCUUACAUAUUUGUUGUAAGGGUUUUUUUUACGUUC
rnacentral:misc_RNA from 1 species